rnacentral:rRNA from 1 species
UCAAGCGAUAGGUAAGGGCAUUUGGUGAAUGCCUUGGCAAUCAGAGGCGAAGAAGGACGUGGUACACUGCGAAAAGUUACGGGGAGUUGUGAACAAGCAUUGAUCCGUAAAUAUCCGAAUGGGGAAACCCACAGAGCAAUCUGUACUGUAUGAUGAAUAAAUAGUCAUGCAGGGCGAACGCAGGGAACUGAAACAUCUAAGUACCUGUAGGAAAGGAAAUCAACCGAGACUCCGAAAGUAGUGGCGAGCGAAAUCGGACCAGCCGACGGAUAUUGAUGUAAGAAUUAGAACAGCGUGGGAAAGCUGACCUAAGAAGGUGAUAGUCCUGUAUAAGUAGAAAGCAUUAAUAUUCUUGAGUAGGGCGGAGCACGAGAAAUUCUGUCUGAAAAUGGGGAGACCACUCUCCAAGGCUAAGUACUACUGAUUGACCGAUAGUGAACAAGUACCGUGAGGGAAAGGUGAAAAGCACCCCUAUAAGGGGAGUGAAAGAGAACCUGAAACCGGAUGCCUACAAGCAGUCGGAGGGUCAUAAGGCCUGACGGCGUACCUUUUGUAUAAUGGGUCAGCGACUUAAUUUAUGUAGCAAGCUUAAGCCGAUAGGUGUAGGCGUAGCGAAAGCGAGUUUUAAUAGAGCGAUAAGUUACAUGAAUUAGACCCGAAACCGAGUGAUCUAGCCAUGAUCAGGUUGAAGGUUGGGUAACACCAACUGGAGGACCGAACCCACUCCCGUUGAAAAGGUAGGGGAUGAAUUGUGGCUAGGGGUGAAAGGCCAAUCAAACUCGGAAAUAGCUGGUUCUCCGCGAAAACUAUUUAGGUAGUGCGGUGAGCGGACACCUUGAGGGGUAGAGCACUGGAAGAUCUAAGGGGGAGCGAUCCUUACUAAAAUCUACCAAACUCCGAAUACUCAAGAGUGAUACUCACCAGACAGACAUUAGGUGCUAAGGUCUAGUGUCGAGAGGGAAAGAGCCCAGACCGCCAAUUAAGGUCCCAAAAUUAUGGCUAAGUGGUAAAGGAAGUGAAACGUCCAAAACAGUCAGGAGGUUGGCUUAGAAGCAGCCAUCCUUUAAAGAAAGCGUAAUAGCUCACUGAUCUAAAUAAGACGUCUUGCGCCGAAGAUGUAACGGGGCUAAAGCCAUAUACCGAAGUUGCGGAUUUACACGUUAAAGUGUAAGUGGUAGCGGAGCGUUCUGUAAGCCUGCGAAGGUGUACCGUAAGGUAUGCUGGAGGUAUCAGAAGUGAGAAUGCUGACAUGAGUAGCGAAAAGAAGAGUGAGAGACUCUUCCGCUGAAAGUCCAAGGUUUCCUGCGUAAAGCUAAUCUGCGCAGGGUUAGUCGGUCCCUAAGGCGAGGCAGAGAUGCGUAGUCGAUGGCAAUCAGGUUAAUAUUCCUGAACCGGCCCGGAAGUGACGGAUUGAGUAAAUUGUAAGUUCUUAUUGGAUUGAGCUUGCAGUGAAUCAGUCCCAGGAAAUAGCCCGGGCUAAGACCGUACCCGAAACCGACACAGGUGGACAGGUAGAGUAUACCAAAGCGCUUGAGAGAACUAUGUUGAAGGAACUAGGCAAAAUACUUGCGUAACUUCGGGAUAAGCAAGCCCCAUUUUAAGGCAACUUAGGGUGGGGGGCACAUACUAGGGGGUAGCGACUGUUUACUAAAAACACAGGGCUCUGCUAAAUUGAAAGAUGAAGUAUAGGGUCUGACGCCUGCCCGGUGCUGGAAGGUUAAGGAGAGAUGUGCAAGCAUCGAACUGAAGCCCCAGUAAACGGCGGCCGUAACUAUAACGGUCCUAAGGUAGCGAAAUUCCUUGUCGGGUAAGUUCCG